UACGGAGGGGGCUAGCGUUGUUCGGAAUUACUGGGCGUAAAGCGCGCGUAGGCGGACCUGCAAGUCGGGGGUGAAAGCCCGAGGCUCAACCUCGGAACUGCCUUCGAUACUGCGGGUCUCGAGUCCGGGAGAGGUGAGUGGAAUUCCUAGUGUAGAGGUGAAAUUCGUAGAUAUUAGGAAGAACACCAGCGGCGAAGGCGGCUCACUGGCCCGGUACUGACGCUGAGGCGCGAAAGCUAGGGGAGCAAACGGG
rnacentral:rRNA from 1 species